GAGAGAUAGCUCAGUGGUUAAGAGCACUGAUAGCUCUUCCAGAGGACCUGGGUUCAAUCCCCAGCACUCUCA
rfam:Cricetulus griseus cell line CHO-K1, whole genome shotgun sequence.